UACGUAGGCAGCGAGCGUUGUUCGGAGUUACUGGGCGUAAAGGGUGCGUAGGCGGUUGUUUAAGUUUGGUGUGAAAUCUCCCGGCUCAACUGGGAGGGUGCGCCGAAUACUGAAUGACUAGAGUGCGGGAGAGGAUAGUGGAAUUCCUGGUGUAGCGGUGAAAUGCGUAGAUAUCAGGAGGAACACCGGUGGUGUAGACGGCUAUCUGGACCGUAACUGACGCUGAGGCGCGAAAGCUAGGGGAGCAAACAGG
rnacentral:rRNA from 1 species